AGCAGCAGGUAUACGAGAAACGUUUAGCUAGCUGCCCAGGCCAGGCAAGUGAAAAGCAAUGUGGUCCGAGUUGUGAGGCCAGAAAAAGACAUAAUUUGCUAGGACAUAGGAACCAUAGGACUACGAGGAUGGUUGAUGUGGACAUGGAAGUGAAAAGGACACAUAAGGCAGUUUUGGCAGAGCCCAGUUGAAACACUUGAAAAUGUAACUCGACAAGUUUUAACAGCUGAAUAUGGAUUUCUCUGACAUCUCCUUUUUAGGUCAAUGAUGGAAGAACAUACUAUUCAUGUAUUACUGGCUAUGAGGCGAUAGAAUGUGCUGGAAGACCAAAAGAACCAUGAACUUGUUUGAUGAUUGGCUGCCUUCACCAUGCCGGGGGAUGGAGCCGAGAGAUGAAAACUCCAGGAUGAGGAUGUGAGAGGAGACGAUAAAACAUCACAUCGAUGACGCUGUGAAGUCAUCAGGAAUAUGAGGAUCUACAUUGCAGUAUGAUUGGCUGCCUUCACCAUGCCAGAGGAUGGAGCCAAGAGAAGACACAACAUCACAUCAAUGACUCUGUGGAGUCAUUGGGAAUAUGAGGAUCCACAUUGAAGUAUGAUUGGCUGCCUUCACCAUGCCGGGGGAUGGAGCCGAGAGAUGAAAGCUCCUGAAUGGGGAUGUAAGAGGAGACACAACAUAUGAGAAUCCACAUUGCAGAGUAAAAGAUGCCUCAUCAUGCUAGGGGAUGGAGCUGAGAGUUGAAACUCCUGGAUGGGGAUGUGAGUGAAGACACAACAUCACAUCCAUGACUCAGUGGAGUCAUUGGGAAUAUGAGGAUCCACAUUGAAGUAUGCUGUACAGUAUCUGGAUAAUCUGUUCCCCCAUCUCGGUUGCAUCAAGCUUGGUGAACAUCACUGGUUCAUCAGAUCUGCUACAAAAGAACUGGAGGACAUCUUAUAGCUAUCUGUGAGAAAAUGCGAGUGGACUUAUAACUCAACUGAAGACAUCUAGAGGACGGCCCCGGUGCUGUAGGAAUUUUAGACCUACAGCUAGUAAACAAUACAACUUUUAAUUUCAAUUUUGCCGCUGUAAGUUGCAUGGGACAUACCCAAAAGUAGGGAGACUCACUCGAGUGAAAACCUGAAUAACUCACUGGCAUUUUGAUAGUGAGCAUUUGCCAAAACCAAUCUUUGAGGUUUUUCAUGCUUAUAAGCGAUUGCUUUCCAAUUCCAAUGAAACUCAAAAAUGUGGGAAAAACCCCCAAGGGUCUUUACAUGCAUUGUAAAUACCCUAUUAUUUAGAUGAACGCAACCUUACUUUCAUGCCAUGUGUUUAGCAUAAUUUUAUUAUGUUUGUAUGAACUGUCCAGUGGUCCAAACCUUGGCAAUGAGAGGCCAAUACAAAACAGAUUAUAUUUCAAUUCUUCAAAGUGUACAUAAGCGAUGAAACGAGGUCUAGCUGCAAUAAAUGUUAGAAAUCAAAGUA